AGGUUUUUGGAGAAAGGACCAUCCAAAUAGAUCUACCUAUGAAUAUAUAAAAGAGAGUAACACCUAUAGUUACAUAAAUCCUCCAUAUCUUGAUGUAAUACUUCUCAAAGAUGCUAGAAACUUCAUCUAAUAUUUCAUGAGGAAUCAUUCCAUCUUGACUAUUUGAGUGUAGAUCAAUGGAUACAUCAGCUUUUUCACGCAUCUCAUUAAUUAAUUCUUCCUCAAUAUUGGUCUUAGUAUCAAGGAGAAUAUGCUCAUGAAAGAUUACUUUAUCAUCUAAGAAAUCUAAAUUGAAGUCAGUGAAGCUUUUAAUAUUUGUUAUUUCAUCUUUUCUUGGAUGAAAUUCUGGAUGCAAUAUAAUUUCAUCUGAUAUU
ensembl:ncRNA ZC53.14 ncRNA